rnacentral:rRNA from 1 species
UACGUAGGGUCCGAGCGUUGUCCGGAAUUAUUGGGCGUAAAGGGCUCGUAGGCGGUCUGUUGCGUCGGGAGUGAAAACUUACAGCUUAACUGUGAGCGUGCUUUCGAUACGGGCAGACUUGAGGCAUUCAGGGGAGAACGGAAUUCCUGGUGUAGCGGUGAAAUGCGCAGAUAUCUGGAGGAACACCGGUGGCGAAGGCGGCAUCCUGGACCGACACUGACGCUGAGGCGCGAAAGCCAGGGGAGCGAACGGG